CAUGAAGUCGGAAUUGCUAGUAAUCGCGGAUCAGCAUGCCGCGGUGAAUACGUUCCCGGGCCUUGUACACACCGCCCGUCGCACCAUGGGAGCCGGUAAUACCCGAAGUCAGUAGUCCAACCACGUGAGGACGCUGCCGAAGGUAGGAUUGGCGACUGGGGUGAAGUCGUAACAAGGUACC
rnacentral:rRNA from 1 species